GACUUUAUAGUUUAUGUGUGUUAAAUCGGAUUGCUGUUAACAAUCAGAAAAGUUGUUUUAAAGUCU
rnacentral:tRNA from 1 species